rnacentral:rRNA from 1 species
GACGAACGCUGGCGGCGUGCCUAAUACAUGCAAGUCGAACGCACAGUUUAUACCGUAGCUUGCUACACCAUAAACUGUGAGUUGCGAACGGGUGAGUAACGCGUAGGUAACCUGCCUGGUAGCGGGUGAUAACUAUUGGAAACGAUAGCUAAUACCGCAUAAUAUUGAUUAUUGCAUGAUAAUUGAUUGAAAGAUGCUAUUGCAUCACUACCAGAUGGACCUGCGUUGUAUUAGCUAGUAGGUGAGGUAACGGCUCACCUAGGCGACGAUACAUAGCCGACCUGAGAGGGUGAUCGGCCACACUGGGACUGAGACACGGCCCAGACUCCUACGGGAGGCAGCGGUAGGGAAUCUUCGGCAAUGGACGAAAGUCUGACCGAGCAACGCCGCGUGAGUGAAGAAGGUUUUCGGAUCGUAAAGCUCUGUUGUAAGAGAAGAACGGGUGUGAGAGUGGAAAGUUCACACUGUGACGGUAUCUUACCAGAAAGGGACGGCUAACUACGUG